CUCUGGACAGCCUAGUCCGGUGGUCGGCAACCCUGCACAUAGCAGGGGGAUUGAAACUAGAUGAUCUUUGAGGUCCUUUUCAUCCCAGGCCAUUCUACGAUUCUGUGAUUAUGUGACAUGAGGGAAGAUGUACAGUUUUAAUUUCUCAGACUGAGCUGAUCAAAGGUUCUCGUCCUUAAGGGCAUGAGUUGGGGCAUUAUUGCAUUCUAUUCUGCCCUCUAGAAAUCCAGCUUUUUACCUUCUUCAGAAUGGCUUCUUCCCAUUAAAGAAUGGCUGGCACAAGUAAACCUGAACAGGCUAAAAUCAAGUUGUCUUUUCCUCCUUAAAUCUUCCACUUUGUUCAGUCCUUCCUUUCUUGGCUCAGUGUCCUUUUUUGAUGAAUGCUGAGCUUCAGCCAAAUUUAGGGUGUUGAGGCACAGUCAGCAGCGAAUUAAGCUGCAGAGGCUGAAACAGCUGUCAACCAUGAGCCGUGUCUUCUUCCUACUCUGUCUUCCCCCAGUCUUACAAAGGAAGCCAGCCCUGUGUCAGAGAAUCUGAACAGAUGAUAAAUCAACUGGUGAACAGCUGCAGCUUCUAGUCAGGCAUGUUCAUACACAAGAAAACCCUCUUCUAGCUGCCUACAUUAAAUAGCUGGUGGCAAAUGGAGAAAGCGUGGGAGGCAGUUCACAAGCAGUUCAAUUACACUUGCAAUCAGGGUGGCAACUUGAGGGAGAGAGGUUGCAUGAACAGACAGGUUUGAUUCUUGCCUCACCACUGGUGUUUAAUGCUGGCACUCCAGCUUUCUCGCACCAAAUCCUUCCAGCUGAAUAGUGGAACCAGGUGGCCCCUUUACACCUUCCUCUGCCUCACUUGAGUCACGUCAGUGGAGCAGACGUGUCUUUGGGAUCCUGAAGGCUGCAGCUGAACAAAAUGAACCACAACAUCCCAAGGCGUCCUUGUGAUGGCAGUGCCUGUAUUCUGUCUGUGGGUAUCAUCAGUGAGCAUCAUAGUUACCUGCAAUGGCAUUCUCUCCUCCGCAGCCAUAUGAACUGAAUUAAGGAGUCUGUUCAUAGUAUCAGUGUCCAAUCUCAGAAAGCAUCAACUCUACAAUAAAUCUGUGACUGAAUUGGACUGAUGAGUACUGUAUGGACAGGUAGUCAUUUACUGUAACAAGAGCAGAAAAACCAUGAGGUAGGAGGAAUAAUAUGUCAGCUGAGGAUUUCUGGUUGCCUGUGUUGGUGGUGCUUAGCCUCAGCAAAGGAAGAGUUCCUGUCACUCCAUACAGGUCAUGGGCCUGAGCAAAGAGAGUGUGCCAUUCCUGCUGCUGUGUGCCGCAGUGAAGCACCUGUAAAUUCAUAAAGAGGCAGCUUGUUUUUUUUUCCAUACUUCUAGAACACCAUAGGUUCAAAGCAUCCAGAAGGUUGUAAGCAGCCCCAGAUUCCUGCUGUGAGGCCAUGGGAAGGCUUCAGAGGCCAGUGAUGAGCUCUGAUAAUGACUGUUGUUCUUCCCUGAGUGAAAGUUCCAGCUGCCCUGCAGCCUUAAACCUGCCUUUGGACAGUCUGGCCUCCAGUACAACUCUUAAGUAGAAGCUGCUUAUUUGUUUUUCAUAGUUGCUGCCAAUAGGAUACUCUUUUCUUGCAGAAAAUGGCCUGAUGUUGACUGAAGCCAUAGAGCAUGUAGAUUGAACACUCAUUCUGCUUUCAGAAAGAAAAUGUGCUCAGCAUUAUUUUUCUUUUGGUGGAGUGGCAAGGUACAUGGAGAUCCUUCUCAGGUCUGGAAGCAGCAGGUUCAUCUGAAGACAAGACAGGUGUGCUUGGGCUGGCUUGGAACCUGGAGAGGCAGGCUCUCUUCAUCACUGGGCUGUAACUGUUUCCUCAUUUAGAGUUGACUGGUGAUACCUAGGAAGUGGAUCCCAGAUGAGUUCUCCUAAGGUUGUG
ensembl:lncRNA